rnacentral:rRNA from 1 species
CCUACGGGUGGCUGCAGUGAGGAAUAUUGGUCACUGGGAGAGAUCCUGAACCAGCCAAGCCGCGUGAGGGAAGACGGCCCUAUGGGUUGUAAACCUCUUUUGUCGGAGAACAAAACCCGGUACGUGUCCCGGACUGCGCGUAUCCGAUGAAAAAGCAUCGGCUAACUCCGUGCCAGCACCCGCGGUAAUACGUGGGAUGCGAGCGUUUUCCGGAUUUAUUGGUGUGAAAGGCGGCGUCGGGGGUCCGUGACGUCAGCGGGAAAAGUGCGGGGCUCAACCCCGGGGAGCCGUUGAAACUGGCAGACUUGAGUGGGCGAGAGGUACGCGGAAUGCGCGGUGUAGCGGUGAAAUGCAUAGAUAUCGCGCAGAACUCCGAUUGCGAAGGCAGCGUACCGGCGCCAGACUGACGCUGAGGCACGAAAGCGUGGGGAUCGAACAGGAUUAGAUACCCUUGUAGUC